AUUGAACGCUGGCGGCAGGCCUAACUCAUGCAAGUCGAGCGGAGCGGCGGACGGGUGGGUAAUGCCUAGGAAUCUGCCUGGUAGUGGGGGAUAACGUCCGGAAACGGGCGCUAAUACCGCACACUAUCAGAUGAGCCUAGGUCGGACUAGCUAGUUGGUGGGGUAAAGGCCUACCAAGGCGACGAUCCGUAACUGGUUUGAGAGGCUGAUCAGUCACACAGGAACGGAGACACGGUCCAGACUCCUACGGGAGGCAGCAGUGGGGAAUAUUGGACAAUGGGCGGAAGCCUGAGCCAGCCAUGCCGCGUGUGUGAAGAAGGUCUUCAGAUUGUAAAGCACUUUAAGUUGGGAGGCGUUACCAACAGAAUAAGCACCGGCUAACUUCGUGCCAGCAGCCGCGGUAAUUC
rnacentral:rRNA from 1 species